CCUACGGGUGGCUGCAGUGAGGAAUAUUGGUCAAUGGGCGCGAGCCUGAACCAGCCAAGUCGCGUGAGGGAAGACGGUCCUAUGGAUUGUAAACCUCUUUUGUCGGGGAGCAAAAGACGCCACGCGUGGUGUUCCGAGAGUACCCGAAGAAAAAGCAUCGGCUAACUCCGUGCCAGCAGCCGCGGUAAUACGGAGGAUGCGAGCGUUAUCCGGAUUUAUUGGGUUUAAAGGGUGCGUGGGCGGAAGAUCAAGUCAGCGGUAAAAUUGAGAGGCUCAACCUCUUCGAGCCGUUGAAACUGGUUGUCUUGAGUGAGCGAGAGGUAUGCGGAAUGCGUGGUGUAGCGGUGAAAUGCAUAGAUAUCACGCAGAACUCCGAUUGCGAAGGCAGCAUACCGGAGCUCAACUGACGCUCAUGCACGAAAGUGUGGGUAUCGAACAGGAUUAGAUACCCUUGUAGUC
rnacentral:rRNA from 1 species